ensembl:lncRNA
CCCACCCUUACUCCAAAGGCCUUUGAAAGCAGCUCUGGAAAGGGCAGGGUUUGCUUCACCCUCUGCCCAACGUCUCCCCAGGCUGCCCGUGCCACCUUCCGGUCUCACCUCCUCGGAGUUCGGGUCAAACGCGGAGCUCCAGUUUCUGAGCCCCUCCUGGAGCUCAGUGAUGUCCACCACGCCGUCCCCAUUGCGGACCAGGUCUUCGAAAAGGAUCCCGUAGCGUAAGGAGUCAUCGUCAUCCUGGCAAGCCACCGCCUCCAGCACGAAGCCCUGCAUCCAGAGCAGCAUGGCUGGGUCCAGAGGCUGCGGGGACCACUAGGCCACCCCGCCCGCACCGCGGCACUAGUCGCCGCCUCCUCGACUCCUGGCUGCGCAAACCAGGGGGUCCCGGCCGUCAGCCAGCUUCUGCAACUGUCUGGUGGAGCCGCUGCAGUUCGGAGUCCAUGCGGGCCAAGCCACCCGCGCCUGCGGGCUCCCGGGCGCCACGGAGAGGCGGCGCCACCUUGUGGGACCUCUGGCCGAGGCGCCACGCGACACCUGAGGCGCCAGGUGUGAGGUCUGCUGCAGUUUGCUGGGUGUCUACUCCAGACCCUGUUCACCUGGGUAUCACCAGUGGAGGCUGCAGAACAGCAAAGAUUGCUGUUUGCUCCUUCCUCCAGAAGCUUCUUCCCAGAGUGGCAUCGACCUGAUUGAUGUCAGCCAGAACUCUCCUGCAUGAGGUGUCUGGAGACCCCUGAUGAAGGUCUAACCCAGUCAAGAAGCACGGGAUUGGAUCCAGGACCUGCUUAGGGAGGCAGACUGACUGUGUCUUAGCAGAGCUGGUGUGCUGUACUGGAGGAGUAGCCCUCAUUGGGAUCAGGUGGUCUCUUCAGAACCAGUAGGCAGGAAAGAUUAAGUCUGCUGAACCUGAGACCAUGGCUGCCCCUCCCACCAGGUGCUCUGUCCCAGGGAGAAAAGAGUUCUGUCUGUAAACCCCUGACUGUAGCUACUGGAAUUCCUGCAGGCAUCCCCUGCCUGGUGAGGAGGGAUGGCUUCGGGUCCCACAUAGGAAGCAGUCUGGCCAUGAUCUGCAACAGCCACUUUGCUGCGUUGUGGGGGAAUUCCACCCAAUCCAAACCUCCUAGUCUCCUUAGCACUGUCAGGGGAAAACCUCCAAAUAAAGCCUCAGUAAUGAUGGUCGCGCCUCCCCUGGGAACUGAGUUGUCACAGGCGGACUCCAGACUGCUGUGACGUCAGCGAGGAUUUCAAUCCGGUGGAUCUUGGCUUGUGGGGCUCCAUGGGGUGGGACCCUCUAAGCCAGACCACUUGAAUCCCUGGCUACAGCCCCCUUUCCACUGAAGUGGACAUUUCUCCUGCCUCACUGGAGUUCUGGGUGUUGCUGGAGUAUGUAAAAACUCCUGGGCUGAGCGCCGUGUCACACGCCUGUAAUCAAAGCACUUUGGGAAGCCGAGGCAGGUGGAUCUCGAGGUCAGGAGAUGCAGACCAUCCUGGCCAACAAGGUGAAACCCUGUCUCCACUAAAAAUACAAAAAUUAGCCAGGCGUGGUGGCGGGCACCUGUAGUCCCAGCUAUUCGGAAAUCUGAGGCAGGAGAAUGCUGUGAACCCGGGAGGCAGACUUGCAGUAAGCCAAGAUUGCACCACUGCACUCCACCCUGAGCAACAGAGCGAGACUCCGACAAAGAAAAGAAAAAAGAAAAAAAAAAAAAA